ACUUUUAAAGGAUAAUAGCUAUCCAUUGGUCUUAGGAACCAAAAAAU
rnacentral:tRNA from 1 species